UUCCGGUUGAUCCUGCCGGACCCGACUGCUAUCAGAGUGGGACUAAGCCAUGCGAGUCGACGUAGCAAUGCGUGGCGAACGGCUCAGUAACACGUAGUCAACAUGCCCAGGGGACGUGGAUAACCUCGGGAAACUGAGAAUAAACCACGAUAGGUCAUGAUUCCUGAAUGGAUCAUGGCCCAAAUCUACAUGGCCCCUGGAUUGGACUGCGGCCGAUCAGGCAGUUGGUGAGGUAAAGGCCCACCAAACCUAUAACCGGUACGGGCUCUGAGAGGAGAAGCCCGGAGAUGGGCACUGAGACAAGGGCCCAGGCCCUAUGGGGCGCAGCAGGCGCGAAACCUCUGCAAUAGGCGAAAGCCUGACAGGGUUACUCUGAGUGAUUUCCGCUAAGGGGAUCUUUUGGCACCUCUAAAAAUGGUGCAGAAUAAGGGGUGGGCAAGUCUGGUGUCAGCCGCCGCGGUAAUACCAGCACCCCGAGUGGUCGGGACGAUUAUUGGGCCUAAAGCAUCCGUAGCCGGUUCUGCAAGCCUUCCGUUAAAUCCAGCCGCUCAACGGAUGGGCCGCGGAGGAUACUACAGGACUAGGAGGCGGGAGAGGCAAGCGGUACUCAGUGGGUAGGGGUAAAAUCCUUUGAUCCAUUGAAGACCACCAGUGGCGAAGGCGGCUUGUCAGAACGCGCUCGACGGUGAGGGAUGAAAGCUGGGGGAGCAAACCGGAUUAGAUACCCGGGUAGUCCCAG
rnacentral:rRNA from 1 species